rnacentral:rRNA from 1 species
UACGUAGGGUGCGAGCGUUAAUCGGAAUUACUGGGCGUAAAGCGUGCGCAGGCGGUUUUGUAAGCCAGAUGUGAAAGCCCCGGGCUCAACCUGGGAAUGGCAUUUGGGACUGCAAGGCUUGAGUGCGGCAGAGGAGACUGGAAUUCCCGGUGUAGCAGUGAAAUGCGUAGAUAUCAGGAGGAAUACCGAUGGCGAAGGCAGCCCCCUGGGUCGAUACUGACGCUCAUGCACGAAAGCGUGGGGAGCAAACAGG